GGCUCGAAAAGAUUUGAUCAUUGCGCAUGGCCAGAGUUCUGUGAAAUCACUGUGUGAACCCAGUUUGUGUGGUUCCAAAGCCCGAACUUUCCUGGACCAUGUUACUCCACUCUGAGUGCAGCUCGGGAGAUGCCAGGAUGCCCGGUCAGCAGGGCUCUGCAGGGAUCUGCACACCCUUUAAAGUUGAGAAGCUCUGUCUUAUAUCACUUGGGUUUGACUUCUGAAUCUCCUUCUGGUUUCCACAGCAGAUUUCAAGUAAGAAGAGAGGAUGAGCUUCAGUCUGAAGGGAGAAAGACCUGCUGCUUUGUAUUCCCUAGGCUUAGAGCUCACCACUUUACUAGAUGCUCUUUGGAUGACCUAAAGACCACGACCAUGAACAUUCUAAAUUUCACCUGUCGACUUGGUGAUACAAAUUACACACCUGAAUGUGGAGAAUAAC